GUCCUUUAGAGUUUAUUAUUUAAGGACUAGCCUGCCCACUGAAUUAUUUUAAAUGGCCGCAGUAAAUUGACUGUGCAAAGGUAGCAUAAUCAUUAGUUUUUUAAUUAAAAGCUUGUAUGAAUGGUUUGACGAAAUAAAAUCUGUCUCUAAAUAAUAAAAAGAAUUUAAUUUUUAAGUUAAAAAGCUUAAAUUUAAUUAAAAGACGAGAAGACCCUAUAGAUCUUUAUAUUAAAAUUAAUAGUUCUAUUUAAGAUUUUUUACAAAAUUAUUAUUUUUAUUAUUAUAUUGGGGUAAUAGGAAGAUUAAAAAAAUUCUUUUUAAUUUUAAUCAAUAAUAAUUGUUUAAUUGAUCCUUAAAUUAAGAUAAUAAGAUUAAGUUACCUUAGGGAUAACAGCGUAAUUUUUUUAGAGAGUUCUUAUCGAUAAAAAAGUUUGCGACCUCGAUGUUGGAUUAAAAAUUAUUCCAGGUGUAGAAGUUUGGAAAUUUUGGUCUGUUCGACCAUUAAAUUUUUACA
rnacentral:rRNA from 1 species